rnacentral:rRNA from 1 species
GAUGAACGCUGGCGGCGUGCCUAAUACAUGCAAGUCGAGCGAACGGACGAGAAGCUUGCUUCUCUGAUGUUAGCGGCGGACGGGUGAGUAACACGUGGAUAACCUACCUAUAAGUCUGGUAUAACUUCGGGAAACCGGAGCUAAUACCGGAUGAUAUUUUGAACCGCAUGGUUCAAUAGUGAAAGACGGUCUUGCUGUCACUUAUAGAUGGAUCCGCGCUGCAUUAGCUAGUUGGUAAGGUAACGGCUUACCAAGGCAACGAUGCAUAGCCGACCUGAGAGGGUGAUCGGCCACACUGGAACUGAGACACGGUCCAGACUCCUACGGGAGGCAGCAGUAGGGAAUCUUCCGCAAUGGGCGAAAGCCUGACGGAGCAACGCCGCGUGAGUGAUGAAGGUCUUCGGAUCGUAAAACUCUGUUAUUAGGGAAGAACAUAUGUGUAAGUAACUGUGCACAUCUUGACGGUACCUAAUCAGAAAGCCACGGCUAACUACGUG